UUACGGCUAUAUGAGGCUGAAACAUCUGUUCUCGUUCGAUCACCGAAGAUAAGCAAAGUCGAGCCUGGUCAGUAUCUAGACGGGUGACCGCUUGGGAAUAACAGGUGCU